GUGCUGAUGAAGAGUCCCAAACUAGGACGAAACAGCUGUCCAGUAC
rfam:Trichobilharzia regenti genome assembly, scaffold: TRE_contig0008272